rnacentral:rRNA from 1 species
GGCGAGUGAAGCGGCAAAAGCUCAAAUUUGAAAUCUGGUACCUUCGGUGCCCGAGUUGUAAUUUGGAGAGGGCAACUUUGGGGCCGUUCCUUGUCUAUGUUCCUUGGAACAGGACGUCAUAGAGGGUGAGAAUCCCGUGUGGCGAGGAGUGCGGUUCUUUGUAAAGUGCCUUCGAAGAGUCGAGUUGUUUGGGAAUGCAGCUCUAAGUGGGUGGUAAAUUCCAUCUAAAGCUAAAUAUUGGCGAGAGACCGAUAGCGAACAAGUACAGUGAUGGAAAGAUGAAAAGAACUUUGAAAAGAGAGUGAAAAAGUACGUGAAAUUGUUGAAAGGGAAGGGCAUUUGAUCAGACAUGGUGUUUUGUGCCCUCUGCUCCUUGUGGGUAGGGGAAUCUCGCAUUUCACUGGGCCAGCAUCAGUUUUGGUGGCAGGAUAAAUCCAUAGGAAUGUAGCUUGCCUCGGUAAGUAUUAUAGCCUGUGGGAAUACUGCCAGCUGGGACUGAGGACUGCGACGUAAGUCAAGGAUGCUGGCAUAAUGGUUAUAUGCCGC